GCACUACUGAGGAGUCCCAUAAUAGGACGAAACAGCCGUCCAGUAC
rnacentral:hammerhead_ribozyme from 1 species